rnacentral:rRNA from 1 species
AUGGUUAAAAUAGAUCUUGAUAAGGCCUUUGAUAGGAUCGAAUGGGAUUUCAUUGUUAAGGCGUUAACUCGUAAAGGGAUGCAUGCUCAUUUCAUAAAUUUAAUAUACGCUUGCAUGGCUAUUCCCCACUUCUCUGUCAUCAUUAAUGGUCAAUCUUAUGGCCUCUUUCAGAGUAGUAGAGGUAUCAGGCAGGGUUGUCCAUUGUCCCCUUGUUUUUUUGUCUUGGCCAUUAAUGAGCUAUCAGCAUCUUUGCAGGAAGCCAUGUGCACUAACCACUUAUCAGGAAUUACUUUGGGACCAGGAUGUCCACCUAUUCACUCCUUAAUAUUUGCUGACGGUUUACUGAUAUGUGGACAGGCUACAGUUACAGAAGCUACUCAUAUGCACAAAAUCCUUCAAAAGUUUUGCAUGUUUCAGGGCAAAUGCCAAACAGGAGCAAGUCAGCUAUUAUUUUCAGCAGGAAUGUCGACGAUGUCAAUAAGGAGGAUAUUAAGAGAAUUUUCCUGGUGCAUGAAAUUAUCGACAAUUCUAUUUAUCUAG